UCGGGGUGUGGCUCAGUUUGGUAGAGCGCUGCGUUCGGGACGCAGAGAUCGCAGGUUCAAAUCCUGUUACCCCGAU
rnacentral:tRNA from 1 species